GCGUGCCGUACGCACCAUUGAACACCGUCACUCUUCGUUCACUUCUACUCAGUGUGGCACAUCGCACGGGGUGGGGAAGGGAGUCAUCAUGACGGACGGGGUGUGGCGCAGCUUCCGUUUCUUCGACAGCGAAGCCCUUGCGGCCGCCUCCUCCUUAGCGGAGCUCAACGUCGUGUGCUCAUGCCUGACCCCCACCUCGCUCGUUGUGGGCGACUGCGAAGGUCAAGUGCUCUUCCUCGAACGCCAUCCCGCGUCGACGGCCGCCUCACCGGGGGGCAGGUGGUGUUUUCAGGCCUACGCGGGCCCAGUCACACACAUCCGAUACUGCGCACUGCGCAACACCCUCAUCACGAUCGGCAAUGACGAUGCGGUUCACAACACGAUUUUGAGAGUCUGGGACCUUGACCAGCUCGUGGCCCUGUACCGAGGCCUUCUGGGCCUUAGCCCAGCCGAUGUCUCGACUUCCGUUCCGGGGGCAUCAGCAGCGGAUGCCCCGCUCCGGUGGAGACCGCCCUGCCAAGAGCACCGCAUUCUACCCGCUAGCAAAGGCGCGAGCGGCGGCGCUUCGAGUGCGCAUGCCUCAUGCGAAGAGGCCCCUCUAGUGACAAUUCUGCUGGAUGAGUCGAAACAGAUGCAGUGCCACUUCAAGCCAUCCUGCACGACUGCAGGCACGCUUUCUCCAUCUCCCACCGGCAACUCCACUGCCAAGGGGUUCUCGUCGCAUGCAGGGGAGGCUGGCAGCACCGGCGUCGUCUCAUGCGGCUCCAUCCGCUCUGCUGUCGUGAGCUUCGAUGUGGUGCCAGAUCUCUCGUGCGCCGCUGUCGGGCUCGUCACGCGGGACUGUGUAGUGCUGCAGGGGGAUCUGGCGAAGGAGCGGUCGGUUCGAGUGCUGACGAUCCGCAGCGGCCUCGCCAAAGGCGCUCUCACGUUUGUCGGACUCCCCAGCAUGCAGCUCGCGACGUUGUGGGAGACCAAAGGCGGUGGCCAUGCGAGCGACAUCAGCGGCGGAGGCACCAGCGCCUUCUCUUUUCUGACAGACAGCGCCCGCGCGCUGACAAGGUCGGCGAGUGCAUCGAAGGUCGACUGUAGCGGUGAUGCGGUGACAGCGGCGGGGGUUCAGGUGCUGUACACGGUCUACGAGGACGUAGUUACGUGCUGGGCGUUGCGAGCCAACGGCAACUGGUCCGAAUACCCCUGCCCCACCUCCAGCGGUGGUGCUCCGCGUUUUGGAGCGGCUCUGACGUCGCGUGGCGAGCUGCUCGUGCUGUGCAAGCAGGCCGCAUCACACGCGACAACUGGCAGCCGUGUUGUGCGGCUCGGCCCCGCUGAUCCAGCCCCCAGCAUCCCCGUGCCGUACGACCCGACGAUGAAGUCAUGUGUGCAUCCCAUCCACGUCGACCACGUGCCGGGACGCUGCUUCCUCUACACGCACCGUCAGUACCUCGUGCUGCUGGUGCAGCACGACGGAAGGCCAGAGCAGUUUCAGCUGCAGUGCCUUGACCUCGCCUAUCGCAUCCGUGGACUGAGUCGCCCGCAGGAGACGUACACAAACUGCGCCAUGCUGCUGGCGGACGAAACAGACAUGCUGGUGCUGUUUCUCGACCCGGCUGUGCGCACACGGCAGCUCGCGUUGCGAGGUGUGCGACUACGCGAGGCAGACACGCAGACCAAGCUGGAGCUUCUCUUCAGCAAGGAAUGCUACGGCAUUGCGCAGCAGCUGGCGCAGACGAUGGAAGGGGCCGACCCGACACUGCAGCUACGCAUCCGCAAGCGCUACGGCGACUACCUCUAUGGCAAACGCAAGUUUGAUGAGGCCAUGGCCCAGUACGUGGGCACGAUCGGGCAUCUGGAGUCGUCCUACGUCAUACAGCGGUACAUGGGCAGCGCACACAUGGAGCAGCUCAUCCGCUACUUGGAGGAGCUGCACAACGAGAAGCAGAGCGCCCACACCAACGUGGCUCACACAACGCUGUUGCUCAAGUGCUACAUCAAGCGCAAGGACGAAGCUCGGCUCAAGGCGUUUAUCCACCGUGACGACGUGCGGUUUGAUGCGAAGAACGCGAUCGAGGUGUGCCGAGAGGGCGGAUACGCCGCGGCGGCGCUGCACAUUGCCGAUCGCUACGCCGCCGUGUACGACUGCGCACGCAUUCGCUUGUACGACAUGCAAGAACCCCUCGAGACGCUGUCGUACGUCCGCACGCUGGGGAUCGAUGAGGCGGAGCCGAUUUGCUCGCAGCUCGGCAAGGACCUUCUUCUUGCGGCGCCUCGCGCCACGACAGAGCUGCUGAUAGAGCUGUGCGUGCACUGGAAGGGGCCGGGACGGCGCCUAGUGAACGUGCCCGCUCUCCCUGCGCUUGCGCCUGACGCUGCUCGUUUUCCCACUUGCACGGGAGAUGCGAUAGGAGGCGGGCCGCGGCACCCCCACCACGCGAACGCGUCUGCAUUCCUGCACAUCUUCGUCGACGCACCGGUGUGUCUCAUGAACUUCCUUCGCGCGGUGGUGGAGAGUGGUGUGCUGAAUGAGGAUGCCGCGACACCCGCGCCGAUGCAGAUGGCUGUGGAAGGCAACGCAGCCACGCCAUCGUCACCUGCACCGCACUCUCCCACAGUGACAUCGGGCCCGCAUGCAGUGCUCUACAACACGCUGUUGGAGCUUUACAUGACUCGUGAACUGAAGAGCACGCUUCGACUGGUGCCCCAGACAACAGCAGCAACGGCCGGUGCAGUCUCGAGCGCUGACGCGACGGCCGAGUUCCCAUUGGAGCCGUACAAGCGACGGCUGGAGCAGGCGCGGACGUUUCUGGAGGCGUACAAGGGUCGGUACGACCACUACCUCGCGCUGAAUCUGGCCCAUCAGCACGGUUUCGAGGACGGCAUCCUGUACCUCCUCCGCCUCCUCGGGCUCUCAGAGGAGAUCCUCGGCUACUACGGCGCCAAGCUGAACGACUCCAACUCCACCCCGGCCGAGAGGCACGAGGCGACCGCGAAACUCUUUCAGGCGUGCCAGGACAGUCCGGCAUCCGACAGCAGCACGACCACCAUGUGGAUGACUCUGCUGUCGCAGCUCAUGCGCACCGCAAAGACGGAAUCGCUCGACAUUGUGAAGGUGCUGGACUACAUCGAGGCCCACGACGCGCUAUCGCCGGUGGUGGUGCUGCAGAUACUGAGCAGUGGCCCUGAGAGUACUCUGGAUCUGCGCACCGUGCGGAAUUACUGCCAGCGGUGUCUGCUGAAGCAGACGCAGCAGUUGCAGGAGGUGCUGGCGCAGACGUCGCAGCGACUCGGCGAGAUGGAGCGUAUCAAGAAGGAGGUCGUCGCUCUGCAGACCUCGGCUGUCGUCUUCCAGGCCACCACGUGCGCACACUGCCAUCAGGUGCUUGACACUCCGACGGUGUACUUUAUGUGCAGGCACGCCUUCCAUCACCGCUGCCUCUACACAGCGGCAGAGUGCAACGUAUGCGCGGCGGCCCAUCGCCGGCAGCUCGACACCACCCGAGAGGCGGCGCAGCACGACCUGCCGCUGCAGAACCCGAGCAACUUUGCAGCGCAGCUCUUUCAGGACGUGAAGUGCGGCCGCGACGCGACGGACGAAGUGGCGGGUGCAGGUGCAGGUCGGAACGGGAGCACCCCACAGGAUGGCUUUCGCGUGGUGGCGGACUACGUUGCCCGCGGUGCCCUCGGUGCGCCGCCGCCGUACAAAGACGCGGGCCCCUUCGGCUGCCAAUCGCCAACAGUGCCGCACCACCCCAGCGGAAGUCAUCAACGUGGGGCGGCGGGCGUGGCUGGCGCGGACGACCUCGACACUUGGUAGACGGCGGCAUGGGUGCAUGUGUCGGAUAUGGACCCUCAUGCAGGUCUAAGCGAGAUGACGAGAGAAAUGCCAUCGCCGCACCAAGAGGUGGAUGAGGUGCCACGGGCGCUGAAGAAGGACGCGGUAAGCGCAAGAGGUGAGCCGUCACGGCGGUACAGAAAAAUGCGCGGGCUGGACCCCUCCCCCUCUCUCCUUCAGCUGCUGUUCUGCGCGGACGUUGGCGGGCUCUUUCUUGCGCUCCUUCCGUGCUCUCGUCUUUCCACAACCUCUAUUGGUGCGACACUCCUCCUGGCCUCUUCACGCAUCUUCUUGCCCCGUUCUCUCACGCAG
rnacentral:misc_RNA from 1 species